UACGUAGGCAGCAAGCGUUGUUCGGAAUUACUGGGCGUAAAGAGUGUGUAGGCGGUGCUCUAAGUUCGUUGUGAAAUCUCCCGGCUUAACUGGGAGGGUGCGGCGGAAACUGGAGUGCUUGAGCGCGGGAGAGGAAAGCGGAAUUCCUGGUGUAGCGGUGAAAUGCGUAGAUAUCAGGAGGAACACCUGUGGUGUAGACGGCUUUCUGGACCGUAGCU
rnacentral:rRNA from 1 species